rnacentral:rRNA from 1 species
UAGAGCGGCGGACGGGUGAGGUAACACGUGGACAAUCUGCCCCCCGGCCCGGGAUAGCCCAGGGAAACCUGGAUUAAUACCGGAUGAGACGGGACCCGCGAUGGCGGGAUCCGGGAAAGGCGCUGACGGCGCCGCCGGGGGGAUGAGUCUGCGUCCCAUUAGCUAGACGGCGGGGUAACGGCCCACCGUGGGCGACGAUGGGUAGCCGGCCUGAGAGGGUGGACGGCCACAUUGGAACUGAGACACGGUCCAGACUCCUACGGGAGGCAGCAGCUAAGAAUCUUCCGCAAUUGGGCGAAAGCCUGGACGGAGCGAACCGCCGCGUGAACGAAGAAGGCCGUGAGGUUGUAAAGUUCUUUUCGGGAGGGGGAACAACCGUGGCAGGGAAUGGCCGCGGGAUGACGUGAAUCCCGGAAUAAGCCCCGGCUAACUACGUGCCAGCCGCGGC